UCGGAGGAAGGUGGGGAUGACGUCAAAUCAUCAUGCCCCUUAUGACCUGGGCUACACACGUGCUACAAUGGGCGGUACAAAGGGUCGCGAACCCGCGAGGGGGAGCCAAUCCCAAAAAGCCGCUCUCAGUUCGGAUUGCAGGCUGCAACUCGCCUGCAUGAAGCCGGAAUCGCUAGUAAUCGCGGAUCAGCAUGCCGCGGUGAAUACGUUCCCGGGCCUU
rnacentral:rRNA from 1 species